CAGUAGCCGCGGGAAUACGGAGGGUGCAAGCGUUAAUCGGAAUUACUGGGCGUAAAGCGUGCGUAGGCGGUUUGUUAAGUCUGCUGUGAAAUCCCCGGGCUCAACCUGGGAAUGGCAGUGGAUACUGGCAAGCUAGAGUGUGUCAGAGGAUGGUGGAAUUCCCGGUGUAGCGGUGAAAUGCGUAGAGAUCGGGAGGAACAUCAGUGGCGAAGGCGGCCAUCUGGGACAACACUGACGCUGAGGUACGAAAGCGUGGGGAGCAAACAGGAUUAGAUACCCGAGUAGUCCCUGUCUCUUAUAC
rnacentral:rRNA from 1 species